rnacentral:rRNA from 1 species
GACGAACGCUGGCGGCGUGCUUAACACAUGCAAGUCACGGGGGUCCCGCAAGGGAUAACCGGCGAACGGGUGCGUAACACAUGAACAACCUGCCCUCGUGUGGGGGAUAGCCGGGCUAACGCCCGGGUAAUACCGCAUACGUUCUCUUUGGGGAGUCCCGAGGAGAGGAAAGCUCCGGCGCACGGGGGAGGGGUUCGCGGCCUAUCAGCUAGUUGGCGAGGUAACGGCUCACCAAGGCGACGACGGGUAGCUGGUCNGAGAGGA